UUUCCUCAUAAUUUCGACAGACUUGUCAGAUGGUUCAGCUGAAGCUAUUAAAAAAAGGAAAACAAUAAUCUUAGCAAGAAGGAAAGUACCACCAAAAUAACUGCUAGUCCUUUGGCAAUGUAACCUAAUUCAACUAAAACUGCAAUAUAAACUGACUUGAGCUUGAUGACAUUAAUCUCCACCCCCUGUUGCUAGCAAUAAUACUUUUUAGAUUGCCAGGACUUAGUAUGUCCAGUCCAGUUAUAUAUAUUAUUCCGUGCAAACUGAUUUUAUAUAUGUUUAGUUUCAUAUACAAAAGAUAAUAUAUGUCGAGAAACCAUGUAUGUGUGCAAGUACAAAUUAAAUUAUUUAACAUCAUUUAAACUUAUUGGGCGUUAAUAUGCACAAAUUCGAAUAUGAACAUCAUGAAGAUGUUUGCAUCCUACUAAGCAAAAUUAGUUAUAAGUGUCACAUGAUUUCAUAAACCUAGCCAUAAUCAUGAUUUAAGCUUCUACACAAAUAUCGGUGAAAUCACAUUAAUGAAAUCGAAUGAAGAGAAGCACAAUCACUAGUCCACUGCUACUACAUUUAUCAAUCUAUCCAGGUAACAACUGCAUAUUUUGCAAAAACAACAACAUCAUCUAAACUCUUAUAGCAAGCAAUU
rnacentral:lncRNA from 1 species